GGCGCGUAGGCGGGGCAUCCUGGUCAGUUCAGGGCUGAAAUGGGCCAGGUAGGCAGGGUAUCCUGGUCAGUUCGGGCUGCUACAGCAAAGUGCCAUACCCUGAGUGGCUCUAACAAGCAACCAUUAUUUCUCGCAGCUCUGGAGGCUACAAGUCCAAGCUACUUCUUCAAUGUGCCUCCUUCAAGACUGCAACCACCUAGAAUUGGCCAAGCUCAGCGCCAGGGACCAGGGCAUGGAGACACAGCCCCUGCUGGCGAGAAGCUUGCAGUGCAUGGGGAUUUGAUCCCGGGGGAGCCUGAGUUCUUCAGGUUGAGAAUUGUCAUCCCUGCGGUGUUCUAGAACCCAGCAAGUGGCUAGCCCGCUGAAGGCACUGUUAUCAGCUCUCAUUUUCAUUCUGAAUAUGCAGCUUCUCCCUCUUCCCGUUUAGUCAAAAUCCCUCAAAUAAAAUGAUAUCUGCCUUGCCAAACCUGGUCUCCACCCCGCAGCCUUAGGGGUUGGUGGAGCCUCUGUAAGCCUGGGCACCUGUGCAGUUGACAUUAGAAGCAAUGGAGGAGGACAGGUGACCCAUUAGAGGUAGAGAAUGGAUCACUCAGGGCCAAGGAACUCAGUCAGAACUCCCCUGAGAUGCGACUGCAUUCUCAUGGCAACGGCAACCCUUCCUCUGAUUCUGCUGCAAGAAUUCUCCCAGAUGCUAGCCCCCAUGGUGUCCAGAGGCUGGAUAGCCCCUUUGGGAGGCUGCAGGGAUGCUGAGACCCAUUCCAACAUCAACAUGAUGAUUCAUUCCGGCAUCAACAGUGUCCCCUGGCCAGACGUCCCCAGACAGGUGCCAGGACAUAGUGCUACAAAGAGUACGUACUAAACCCAGAAGAGACCUGGCAGUUUCAUUUGUCUUUCUGCCAAUCCUUGGAACAAGCUAAGAUGGGAUUUUUAAAAAGUCCAGUCAACUAAAGGCUUGGAUAGAUUGGGAGGUUCUGAUUUUUAAAAGUUUUUAAAUUGUGAAAUAUGUUCUGUCUUAAAAGGUAUGUAAUAUUUUUAUAGUUUAAAAUAAUAAAAUGAGCAGUCGUGAACCUACUAUCCAGUUUAAGAAAGAAAACAUCAUCCCAUGUGCCCCUCCCAGACUCAUCCCUCCCCUUCCAGGUAACCAUUACCCUGGAGUUUGUGUUCACUGUUCUUCAAUUUUCUGCAUAGCUUUCACAAACUGCGUGUGUUCCUAAAUAGGAUAUUUAGUCAUGCCCAUUUCUGAAACUGAAAUUUAAAUGUUUCCACUCUAUAUAUGUGUUUUGCAAUAUGCUGUUUUUGCUCCAUAUUAUGCUUUCAGAAAUUUACCCAUCAUAAUGAAUAUAACUGUUAAUUUAUUUCACUGCUAUAUAGUAUUUCAUAACAUGCAUUUAUCCAGUUUGCUGUUAAUGGUUACUUUGGUUGUUUUCAGAGUUUUGGGUUUUCUUUUUUUUCUUUUUUUUUUUUUGCCUUUUUUUGCUUUUAUUAGUCAUGCUGCUGUUAACCCUUUUGUACAUGGCUUUGGGGUACAUAUACCCCAAAAGAAUUAUUAUUCUCAACACCAGCACCACCCUUCUGACAAGUAUUUUGUGAUGUUCUUUUUACUAUCUUGAAAUAAAAUUCUUGAAAUUCUA